GAUGAACGCUGGCGGCGUGCCUAAUACAUGCAAGUCGAGCGAACAGAUAAGGAGCUUGCUCCUUUGACGUUAGCGGCGGACGGGUGAGUAACACGUGGGUAACCUACCUAUAAGACUGGGAUAACUUCGGGAAACCGGAGCUAAUACCGGAUAAUAUUUCGAACCGCAUGGUUCGAUAGUGAAAGAUGGUUUUGCUAUCACUUAUAGAUGGACCCGCGCCGUAUUAGCUAGUUGGUAAGGUAACGGCUUACCAAGGCGACGAUACGUAGCCGACCUGAGAGGGUGAUCGGCCACACGGGAACUGAGACACGGUCCAGACUCCUACGGGAGGCAGCAGUAGGGAAUCUUCCGCAAUGGGCGAAAGCCUGACGGAGCAACGCCGCGUGAGUGAUGAAGGUCUUCGGAUCGGAAAACUCUGUUAUUAGGGAAGAACAUACGUGUAAGUAACUGUGCACGUCUUGACGGUACCUAAUCAGAAAGCCACGGCUAACUACGUG
rnacentral:rRNA from 1 species